UGGGGAUUCGUCUAGUGGUAGGACGGCAGGUUCUGGCUCUGCAAGCAUAGGUUCGACUCCUAUAUCCCCAG
rnacentral:tRNA from 1 species